rnacentral:lncRNA from 1 species
CAACUAAACUACCAAGCUGACAUGACCUGCAGCUCCCCCAAGCUACAGAUGAUCGUACACAUCCGAGUCCUUUGGGGUUCGACUAUCCAAGCUUCCCCCACAAACUCUUGUGCCACGAUCCCGAUCUUGCAUCCUUGAUAUGCCUUUCCACCCCUGGUCAUAUCGCUUGACAAUAUUCAUGGCCUGCUCGCCCAUCACUGUGCAUUACCAUGACCCUGGGGAUACAUGACCGCACCACCCAAUAUCUUCGAUCCACAGCCUACUCACAUAUUGAGCACUGCCACG